GGCUGAAAUUACGCCUUCCAUGAAGCUGGAAUUGCUAGUAAUGGCAGGUCAGCAUACUGCCGUGAAUACGUUCCCGGGCCUUGUACACACCGCCCGUCACACCAUGAGAGUUGGAAAUACCCGAAGCCUGUGAGCUAACUGUAAAGAGGCAGCAGUCGAAGGUAGAGCCAAUGAUUGGGGUGAAGUCGUAACAAGGUAAC
rnacentral:rRNA from 1 species